CCAGAAUGUUCCUUGCUGCAGAUGCAUUGGCCCCAUCUGCAGGUCCUCUUUGACACCUACCUUACUCUCUCCCUCCACUCACACUCUGAGAACUGUGCUCAGGGGCAGCGCUACAACUUCCACAUUGGUCUUUACAGGGCUUGAGUGAUUAUUUCAAGAACAGAACGCUGUGUGGAAACCUUUACCAUAUUUCGUUGUAUCUAAGACACAUUUUUUUUUUUUUGUAAUUUAACAUCUCUAAGGUUGGGUUAUGUUUCUUCAUCAUUGUCAGGUUGGAGCUUAAUCAGCAGCACUUUUUUUUAAUGUCACACACAGUAAUGGUGAUGCAUCUCACAAUUGAGAUCAUCUUAGACAUGAUGGAAUAUGGAAUCGUGUGCCUGUUACAAGCCAGGCUCUUGUCUGGGUUCUAGAGAUGGUGGAAACCAAGACAGCACCAUCCUCUAGUGGUGUUCACAUCCCACCACAGUGGAGUCAGGACUUUGAAGUCCUCCAUUGGAUCUUCUUGGAAGAUGAGGGAAAUGAGAGAGUGUGGAGAGAGAUUUUGUAAGUCCGGUCUGGAAGUGGUCAUUGUUCAGAAUCCAGCCACGUGGCUACAUGGAACUGUAAGCUGUCCCUUAGCGAAGAAUAAAACUGUGGACUGACCCCCACCCAUUUGCGAAGAAAGUACUGGGUCUUCAGCUUUCAUUGUUCAGCCGGUGGUCUUUGUGGACAACACCAGGGGCCCCUCCUGCUGAAGACUGUCUGGACUUCCUGAUUUUCACUCCUGUAUAAACCCCCUCCCCCAUUACUACCUUUGUCUCCUUGGGGAAAAAAAAAUGUUUUUCACUUAAGCAAAAUAAUAACUACCCAGUAUUUGUUUCUGGAGUGAAAUUAUAAACUUCAUUGUACAU
rnacentral:lncRNA from 1 species